UACAGAGGUCCCAAGCGUUGUUCGGAUUCACUGGGCGUAAAGGGUGCGUAGGUGGUGAGGUAAGUCGGAUGUGAAAUCUUCAGGCUCAACCUGGAAAUGGCAUCGGAAACUACCUUGCUCGAGGUUUGGAGGGGGGACUGGAAUACUUGGUGUAGCAGUGAAAUGCGUAGAUAUCAAGUGGAACACCAGUGGCGAAGGCGAGUCCCUGGACAAAACCUGACACUGAGGCACGAAAGCUAGGGGAGCAAACAGG
rnacentral:rRNA from 1 species